AUGAGCUUGUGCAACUGAAAAAUUUAACCCUGUCAUUUCUCUGCCCACCCCUCCGUUUUUGUAACUUCUUGUUUUGAUCCAGUCAGCCAACUCUGUGCAUUUUCUGGAAUUCAGAUGGGCCAUCUGCUACCCACACAUUCAAGAAGAAAGCCACACAAAAAAGGCAGCAAGGAUGAUGUUUUCCCAUGCAAGCUGAAGUGACUCUCACUUUUGAGGUAAGGAAACCUGAAGAACGUUUAAGUUGGUAAGAACUGACCUUCUGCAGGAGGACACAAGGCAGAGUGUCUAAGUUACAUUUCUAAGUGAUAUGGAAUCAUUUGCACUGCAUAGAAAAAGCCAAAACCAUAAGUACAGCACCUGAUAAUAGCAGUUAUGAGCCUUUCCAAAAGAUUUCAUUCUUUGUCUUAUUUAGUUGUAAUUUGUUUGCUUGAAGACCUCUUUUGAAGUUAUCUAUGGAAGUGGCAUGAGGUGCAG
rnacentral:lncRNA from 1 species